CCUACGGGAGGCAGCAGUAGGGAAUAUUGCUCAAUGGGGGAAACCCUGAAGCAGCAACGCCGCGUGGAGGAUGAAGGUUUUCGGAUUGUAAACUCCUUUUGUUAGAGAAGAUAAUGACGGUAUCUAACGAAUAAGCACCGGCUAACUCCGUGCCAGCAGCCGCGGUAAUACGGAGGGUGCAAGCGUUACUCGGAAUCACUUGGCGUAAAGAGCGCGUAGGCGGGAUAGCAAGUCAGAUGUGAAAUCCUAUGGCUUAACCAUAGAACUGCAUUUGAAACUGUUAUUCUAGAGUAUGGGAGAGGUAGGUGGAAUUCUUGGUGUAGGGGUAAAAUGCGUAGAGAUCAAGAAGAAUACUCAUUGCGAAGGCGACCUGCUAGGACAUAACUGACGCUGAUGCGCGAAAGCGUGGGGAGCAAACAGGAUUAGAUACCCGGGUAGUC
rnacentral:rRNA from 1 species